rnacentral:rRNA from 1 species
UGAAUCAAAGAAGGUAAUAAUCCUGUAGUCGAAAACAUAUUCUCUCUUGAGUGGAUCCUGAGUACGACGGAGCACGUGAAAUUCCGUCGGAAUCUGGGAGGACCAUCUCCUAAGGCUAAAUACUCUCUAGUGACCGAUAGUGAACCAGUACCGUGAGGGAAAGGUGAAAAGUACCCCGGAAGGGGAGUGAAAGAGAACUUGAAACCGUGUGCUUACAAGUAGUCAGAGCCCGUUAAUGGGUGAUGGCGUGCCUUUUGUAGAAUGAACCGGCGAGUUACGAU